rnacentral:rRNA from 1 species
UACGUAGGGUGCGAGCGUUGUCCGGAAUUAUUGGGCGUAAAGAGUUGUAGGCGGUUUGUCGCGUCUGCUGUGAAAAUCCGGGGCUCAACCCCGGACUUGCAGUGGGUACGGGCAGACUAGAGUGUGGUAGGGGAGACUGGAAUUCCUGGUGUAGCGGUGGAAUGCGCAGAUAUCAGGAGGAACACCGAUGGCGAAGGCAGGUCUCUGGGCCAUUACUGACGCUGAGAAGCGAAAGCAUGGGGAGCGAACAGG